ACUCCGUGCCAGCAGCCGCGGUAACACGGAGGGCGCAAACGUUGCUCGGAAUCACUGGGCAUAAAGCGCACGUAGGCGGCCGUCUAAGUCGGGUGUGAAAGCCCUCGGCUCAACCGAGGAACUGCACUCGAUACUGGACGGCUUGAGGACGGUUGGGGUGAGUGGAACUCCAGGUGGAGCGGUGAAAUGCGUAGAUAUCUGGAG
rnacentral:rRNA from 1 species